UGUCCCAUGGUGUAACUGGUAACACGUCUGUUUUUGGUACAGAAGAGUCUAGGUUCGAUCCCUAGUGGGACAACAA
rnacentral:tRNA from 1 species